rnacentral:lncRNA from 1 species
ACUGUCAGCAAGUACGACUCGCAGUUCCACAAACUGUUCCCGUGCGUUCCCAAGGACGAGAUCCUCAUGAAAGUCUACUCCUGCGCUCUUCUCAGAGACAUCCUGCUCCAAGGCCGGCUCUACAUCUCCAGACACUGGCUGUGCUUUUAUGCCAACCUGUUUGGCAAAGACAUCAAGGUGGCCGUCCCCGUGGUGUCUGUGAGGCUGGUGAAGAAACACAAGACCGCGGGCCUUGUGCCCAACGGCCUGGCCAUCACCACCGACACGGGCCAGAAGGUGAGCGCUCGCUUCUAGAUGCUUUAGUUUAAACGACUGAUGAACUGCUGCAGGAUUCACAGUAAAAGUGUUGUGACUUUUGCGUCACUGUGUCUUUUUCUAUUUCCACAGUACGUAUUUGUAUCCCUGCUAUCAAGAGACAGCGUAUAUGAUGUCUUACGCAGGAUCUGCACACACCUGCAGGUCAGCGGUCACACACACACACACACACACACACACACACACACACACACACACACACACAUACACAUGCAUACAGACGCACACACACACACACACACAUACACAUGCAUACAGACGCACACACACACACACACACACACACACACAUACACAUGCAUACAGACGCACACACACACACACACACACACAUACACAUGCAUACAGACGCACACACACACACACACACACACACAUACAUAUGCAUACAGACGCACACACACACACACACACACACACAUACACAUGCAUACAGACACGCACACACACACACACACAUACACAUGCAUACAGAUGCACACAUACACACACACCAACACACACAUACAUGCAUACAGACACACAUGCAUACACACAGACACACACACACACACACACACACACACACACACACACACACACACACACUUACUGUAACACUGUGUGGUGCAUGUGUCCCUUAAGUGUGAUUUCCUUUCCCUCUGCAGGUAAAUGGGAAGAGUCUGAGUUUGAAGCAGCUCAUGGAGGAGCCGACCUUAUCGCUGGACGAGUUUCCAGCUCCAGAUGA